rnacentral:rRNA from 1 species
GACGAACGCUGGCGGCGUGCUUAACACAUGCAAGUCGAACGGACCGGCCCUGCUUUUGUGGGGUGCUCGAGUGGCGAACGGAUGCGUAACACGUGAGUAACCUGCCCUUGACUUUGGGAUAACUUCAGGAAAUUGGCGCUAAUACCGGAUAGGUGUUCCUGCUGCAUGGUGGGGGUUGGAAAGUUUCGGCGGUUGGGGAUGGACUCGCGGCUUAUCAGCUUGUUGGUGGGGUAGUGGCUUACCAAGGCUUUGACGGGUAGCCGGCCUGAGCGGGUGACCGGCCACAUUGGGACUGAGAUACGGCCCAGACUCCUACGGGAGGCAGCAGUGGGGAAUAUUGCACAAUGGGCGGAAGCCUGAUGCAGCAACGCCGCGUGCGAGAUGACGGCCUUCGGGUUGUAAACCGCUUUCGCCUGUGACGAAGCGUGAGUGACGGUAAUGGGUAAAGAAGCACCGGCUAACUACGUG